UGAUUUUGGAUCCGACUGAGUGGCGAACUGGUGAGUAACACGUGGGUAACCUGCCCAGAAGAAGGGGAUAACACCUGGAAACAGAUGCUAAUACCGUAUAACAACAAGAACCACAUGGUUCUUGUUUGAAAGCUGGCCUUUGUGCUAGUGCUUCUGGAUGGACCCGCGGCGUAUUAGCUAGUUGGUGAGAUAAUAGCUCACCAAGGCAAUGAUACGUAGCAGACCUGAGAGGGUAAUCUGCCACAAUGGGACUGAGACACGGCCCAUACUCCUACGGGAGGCAGCAGUAGGGAAUCUUCCACAAUGGACGAAAGUCUGAUGGAGCAACGCCGCGUGAGUGAAGAAGGGUUUCGGCUCGUAAAACUCUGUUGUUAGAGAAGAACAGCCGUGAGAGCAACUGCUCACGGUAUGACGGUAUCUAACCAGAAAGUCACGGCUAACUACGUGCCAGCAGCCGCGGUAAUACGUAGGUGGCAAACGUUGUCCGGAUUUAUUGGGCGUAAAGGGAGCGCAGGCGGUUUAUUAAGUCUGAUGUGAAAGCCUUCGGCUUAACCGGAGAAGUGCAUCGGAAACUGAUAAACUUGAGUGCAGAAAAGGAUAGUGGAACUUCAUGUGUAGCGGUGAAAUGCGUAGAUAUAUGAAGGAACACCAGUGGCGAAGGCGGCUAUCUGGUCUGUAACUGACGCUGAGGCUCGAAAGCAUGGGUAGCAAACAGGAUUAGAUACCCUGGUAGUCCAUGCCGUAACGAUGAAUGCUAGGUGUUGGAAGGUUUCCGCCUUUCAGUGCCGCAGCUAACGCAUUAAGCAUUCCGCCUGGGGAGUACGACCGCAAGGUUGAAACUCAAGGGAAUUGACGGGGACCGCACAAGCGGUGGAGCAUGUGGUUAAUUCGAUGCUACGC
rnacentral:rRNA from 2 species